CCUGGAGAGCAGACCCAGCAGAGAGAGCCGGUCCUUGGGGAAGGCCUGCAGUCCCGUCAUGGGAUCUUCAAGGUUCUUGGCUAGAUCCCCCUCUAAUAAGAGAGGGAUUAACGGGACAAAAACAAACAAGUGGAAUCACACGGACCCCUCCUGAAGACCUGGGAGAGACCCAGGAAAACUGAGUAAUCGCCGGAAAUGGCCCAAGUCACCACCCCAAAUACCAUCUCCAGCUAAAGACAAAAGAAGACGUUGGGUGGUGUGGGGAGACUGGUUCUGGGAGGUUCCCAGGAAAAGCAGAAUAAACAAGGGAAAGUUUGUUAUGCAGAUUUAAGUUGUUGUCUUCCCAUUGAUUAGAGUUUCUGGAGAGUUGGUCUGCUCCUCUUCCUGGUGCAGAGGGGAGACUCCCUCACAAAUGGAGAUUUUCC
rnacentral:lncRNA from 1 species